rnacentral:snoRNA from 1 species
AGGUCCAUUCUAAUUCCCUGCAAGUUGGUGGCAGUACCUGCUGGGUUUCGCUUGUGGACCACAUUAAACUGGAAAACUUAAGCAUAGAUGAGCUUACUGGUAGUCUGCUCAUGAUAGUAGUUUUCUGGACAUGU